rnacentral:rRNA from 1 species
GACGAACGCUGGCGGCGUGCUUAACACAUGCAAGUCGAACGGAAAGGCCCUGCUUUUGUGGGGUGCUCGAGUGGCGAACGGGUGAGUAACACGUGAGUAACCUGCCCUUGACUUUGGGAUAACUUCAGGAAACUGGGGCUAAUACCGGAUAGGAGCUCCUGCUGCAUGGUGGGGGUUGGAAAGUUUCGGCGGUUGGGGAUGGACUCGCGGCUUAUCAGCUUGUUGGUGGGGUAGUGGCUUACCAAGGCUUUGACGGGUAGCCGGCCUGAGAGGGUGACCGGCCACAUUGGGACUGAGAUACGGCCCAGACUCCGACGGGAGGCAGCAGUCGGAAAUAUUGCACAAUGGGCGGAAGCCUAAUGCAGCAACGCAGCGUGCGGGAUGACGGCCUUCGGGUUGUAAACCGCUUUCGCCUGUGACGAAGCGUGAGUGACGGUAAUGGGUAAAGAAGCACCGGCUAACUACGUG